UACCAGCUCUCCGAGUGGUAGGGAUGAUUAUUGGGCUUAAAGCGUCCGUAGCCGGCUUAGCAAGUUUCCUGUUAAACUCAGCGACUCAAUCGUUGGAUCGCGGGAAAUACUACUAGGCUAGGAGGCGGGAGAGGUCAACGGUACUUCUGGGGUAGGGGUGAAAUCCUAUAAUCCCGGGAGGACCACCAGUGGCGAAGGCUGUUGACUAGAACGCGCUCGACGGUGAGGGACGAAAGCUGGGGGAGCGAACCGGAUUAGAUACCCGGGUAGUCCCAGCUGUAAACGAUGCGAGCUAGGUGUUGGGAUGGCUACGGGCCAUUUCAGUGCCGCAGGGAAGCCAUUAAGCUCGCCGCCUGGGGAGUACGGCCGCAAGGCUGAAACUUAAAGGAAUUGGCGGGGGAGCACCACAAGGCGUGAAGCUUGCGGUUC
rnacentral:rRNA from 1 species